CUGCAGUUCCUAAUAGACAGAACCAAAGCCCGUUUGGCGGGAUGGAGGAAAAACCUAAUCCACAUCGCGGGACGACGCGUGUUAGUUCGAUGUGUCCUCAGUGCUUUGCCGACCUUCGCCAUCACCGUGCUGCGGGUGCCAAAGAAGAUCCUCAAGGAGAUCGAUAAGUGCCGCCGCCGUUUCCUCUGGAAGCAAAACGAGGAGAUCUCCGGUGCAAGCUGCAAGGUCAACUGG
rnacentral:rRNA from 1 species